UUAUAGGCUGGGUACUCUUAUAUGGCGAGUAUAUCCCAAAGUCUAUAUUUUAACUGGAAAAGUUGGGGGCCAUCUUAUAUGCCCAGUCAUCUUAUAUGCUGGAAAAUACAGUAACUA